rnacentral:rRNA from 1 species
UACAGAGGUCUCAAGCGUUGUUCGGAUUCAUUGGGCGUAAAGGGUGCGUAGGCGGCGCGGUAAGUCGGGUGUGAAAUUUCGAGGCUUAACUCCGAAACUGCAUUCGAUACUGCCGUGCUUGAGGACUGGAGAGGAGACUGGAAUUUACGGUGUAGCGGUGAAAUGCGUAGAUAUCGUAAGGAAGACCAGUGGCGAAGGCGGGUCUCUGGACAGUUCCUGACGCUGAGGCACGAAGGCCAGGGGGAGCAAACGGGG